AGCCCCGGCACCUCCUUGGUGCGUUUCUGCAUUUGCACUGUAG
rnacentral:tRNA from 1 species